UACAGAGGUCUCAAGCGUUGUUCGGAUUCAUUGGGCGUAAAGGGUGCGUAGGCGGCGCGGUAAGUCGGGCGUGAAAUUUCGAGGCUUAACUUCGAAACUGCAUUCGAUACUGCCGUGCUCGAGGACUGGAGAGGAGACUGGAAUUUACGGUGUAGCGGUGAAAUGCGUAGAUAUCGUAAGGAAGACCAGUGGCGAAGGCGGGUCUCUGGAUAGUUCCUGACGCUGAGGCACGAAGGCCAGGGGAGCAAACGGG
rnacentral:rRNA from 1 species